rnacentral:rRNA from 1 species
GAUGAACGCUGGCGGCGUGCCUAAUACAUGCAAGUCGAACGAAACUUCUUUAUCACCGAGUGCUUGCACUCAUCGAUAGAGAGUUGAGUGGCGAACGGUUGAGUAACACGUGGGCAACCUGCCCAAAAGAGGGGGAUAACACUUGGACACAGGAGCUAUUGCCGCAUAACGAUCGUUACCGCAUGGUGAUUAUGUAAAAGGUGGCAGUACUACCGCUUUUGGAUGGGCCCGUGGCGCAUUAGCUAGUUGGUAGGGUCAAGGCUUACUAAGGCAAUGAUGCGUAGCCGAAUUGAGAGGUUGAUCGGCCACAUUGGGACUGAGACACGGCCCAAACUCCUACGGGAGGCAGCAGUAGGGAAUCUUCCACAAUGGGCGAAAGCCUGAUGGAGCAACGCCGCGUGAGUGAAGAAGGUCUUCGGAUCGUAAAACCCUGUUGUGAGAGAAGAAAGUACGUGAGAGUAACUGUUCACGUUUCGACGGUAUCUAACCAGAAAGCCACGGCUAACUACGUG